CCAGACUCCUACGGGAGGCAGCAGUGGGGGAUAUUGCACAAUGGGGGGAACCCUGAUGCAGCGACGCCGCGUGGGUGAAGGAGCGUUUCGGCGCGUAAAGCCCUAUCGGCAGGGAAGAAGGAGGACGGUACCUGACUAAGAAGCCCCGGCUAACUACGUGGCAGCAGCCGCGGGAAUACGUAGGGGGCAAGCGUUAUCCGGAUUUACUGGGUGUAAAGGGAGCGCAGACGGCAGUGCAAGUCUGGAGUGAAAGCCCGGGGCCCAACCCCGGGACUGCUCUGGAAACUGUCCGGCUGGAGUACGGGAGGGGCGGGCGUGAUUCCUAGUGUAGCGGUGAAAUGCGUAGAUAUUAGGAGGAACACCAGUGGCGAAGGCGUCUUACUGGACCUAAACUGACGUUGAG
rnacentral:rRNA from 1 species